AACGAACGCUGGCGGCAGGCCUAACACAUGCAAGUCGAACGAAGUCUUCGGACUUAGUGGCGCACGGGUGAGUAACACGUGGGAAUAUACCUUUCGGUGGGGAAUAACAUCGGGAAACUGAUGCUAAUACCGCAUACGCCCUUCGGGGGAAAGAUUUAUCGCCGAAAGAUUAGCCCGCGUCCGAUUAGGUAGUUGGUGAGGUAACGGCUCACCAAGCCUGCGAUCGGUAGCUGGUCUGAGAGGAUGAUUAGCCACACUGGGACUGAGACACGGCCCAGACUCCUACGGGAGGCAGCAGUGGGGAAUAUUGGACAAUGGGCGCAAGCCUGAUCCAGCCAUGCCGCGUGAGUGAUGAAGGCCUUAGGGUUGUAAAGCUCUUUCGACGGGGACGAUGAUGACGGUACCCGUAGAAGAAGCCCCGGCUAACUUCGUGCCAGCCGCCGCGGUAAAAC
rnacentral:rRNA from 1 species